CCGGGUCGUCAAAACACCUGGUUGAUCUCUCACCCUCUCUCAUUUUUUGUAUGGAUAUGUUUGUGGAUUCAAAAUAAGUAUUUUGGAUCUGAUGCUUUAUAGAUGAUUGUGUAUUUGUAACUUUCUGAAUUGGGUAUGGAUGUGAAUAGGUGGAAAGUUGGUGUACCAGACCACAAAGAAGAGGGCAAGUGGUCCUAAGUGCCCUGUUACUGGCAAGAGGAUUCAAGGGAUUCCUCACUUGAGACCUGCUGAGUACAAAAGAUCUAGAUUGUCCAGGAACCGACGCACUGUCAAUCGUGCCUAUGGUGGUGUAUUGUCUGGAGGUGCUGUCAGGGAAAGGAUCAUCCGAGCCUUCUUAGUGGAAGAACAAAAGAUUGUAAAGAAGGUCUUGAAGAUUCAGAAGGCAAAGGAGAAACAAGCCUCAAGGAGCUAAGAUGAGAGGAUGAUAAAGCUAAGUCUUGUGAGUUCGAAGAUAUGCUGGGGAGAAAUUUUGGGCAAUGAGAUCUGUAAUUUGAAUUUGGAGAUUUUCAAUUUUAGUUUGUUUGCUACCUGAUUAUUUGCAUACUUUUUGGUGCACUUUCACAGGAGAUUAGUUGUUUAAUGUGACAAUUUGUGCUUUUGAUCACUUGGAAUAUCCUGUCUUUUGAUAAUUCUAGUAUAAUUACUGAAUUCUGUAUGUUUCUCUCAUUUGCUUUUAUACCAUGCGAGUAUGUUUCAACUUGGAAUUGCAAGUGCUUCAGUCAUGUCUUCGAAGAUGUCUGCAAUCCACAAAAUCCAUGUCUCCCUAAGUGGUGUUGCACAACGCGUGGUAUGUUGUGCCUUUAGCCCCUCUCAAGUUUCAGUACCAAAAUUGUUGAUAUGAUUUGAAAUAUAUGUAUAUGGGUUGCCCUCUAGAUGCUUAACUUGUGCAUUCUAGAUGCCAAAUUGAAAUGAGGCAGGAUAAGUGCUGGAGUCUUUCGACUAAAGAUUUUAAUCUUACCUAUCAAGUUCUGGUGCUUCAUGGGGUUUUUGUCUAUGAAAUUUAGCGGUAAAGGACGUAUUGCAAUUACAAUUUCCCAAGAUGGAUAAACUUUUAUGAAAAUAAAUCAUUUUCUCUGCCAAUAUGCAUUGACGUAUCAGUGAUGAUUGAAUUAGGGAAUUACAUGCCUCUGUCAAGUAUGGGAUUCGAACCCACGCCCCUGAAACUGGCGCCUUAGAACAACUCACCCACGCCUCUGAAACUGGCGCCUUAGAACAACUCACCCACGCCU
rnacentral:misc_RNA from 1 species